rnacentral:rRNA from 1 species
UUAGUAACGCGUGGGAAUAUACCCUUCACUAUGGAAUAGCCUCGGGAAACUGAGAGUAAUACCAUAUACGCCCUUCGGGGGAAAGAUUUAUCGGUGAAGGAUUAGCCCGCGUAAGAUUAGAUAGUUGGUGGGGUAAUGGCCUACCAAGUCUACGAUCUUUAGCUGGUUUUAGAGGAUGAUCAGCAACACUGGGACUGAGACACGGCCCAGACUCCUACGGGAGGCAGCAGUGGGGAAUCUUAGACAAUGGGCGAAAGCCUGAUCUAGCCAUGCCGCGUGAGUGAUGAAGGUCUUAGGAUCGUAAAGCUCUUUCGCUAGGGAUGAUAAUGACAGUACCUAGUAAAGAAGCCCCGGCUAACUCCGUGCCAGCAGCCGCGGUAAUACGGAGGGGGCUAGCGUUGUUCGGAAUUACUGGGCGUAAAGCGUACGUAGGCGGAUCAGAAAGUAUGGGGUGAAAUCCCAGGGCUUAACCCUGGAACUGCCUCAUAAACUCCUGGUCUUGAGUUCGAGAGAGGUAAGUGGAAUUCCAAGUGUAGAGGUGAAAUUCGUAGAUAUUUGGAGGAACACCAGUGGCGAAGGCGGCUUACUGGCUCGAUACUGACGCUGAGGUACGAAAGUGUGGGGAGCAAACAGGAUUAGAUACCCUGGUAGUCCACACCGUAAACGAUGAAUGCCAGUCGUCGGGUAGCAUGCUAUUCGGA